rnacentral:tRNA from 5 species
GGGGGCGUAGCUCAGUUUGGGAGAGCACCGGCUUUGCAAGCCGGGGGUCGGCGGUUCGAUCCCGCUCGCCUCCACCA